CUACGGGGCGCUGCAGUGAGGAAUAUUGCACAAUGGGGGGAACCCUGAUGCAGCAACGCCGCGUGGAGGAUGACGCAUUUCGGUGUGUAAACUCCUUUUAUAUGUCAAGAAAAUGACGGUAGCAUAUGAAUAAGCACCGGCUAACUCCGUGCCACGCAGCCGCGGUAAUACCGAGGGUGCAAGCGUUACUCGGAAUCACUGGGCGUAAAGGACGCGUAGGCGGGUUGGAAAGUCAGGUGUGAAAUCCUACAGCUUAACUGUAGAACUGCACUUGAAACUUCUAAUCUAGAGUAUGGGAAGGGGAGAUGGAAUUAGUGGUGUAGGGGUAAAAUCCGUAGAUAUCACUAGGAAUACCUAAAGCGAAGGCGAUCUCCUGGAACAUUACUGACGCUAAGGCGUGAAAGCGUGGGGAGCAAACAGGAUUAGAUACCCCGGUAGUC
rnacentral:rRNA from 1 species